rnacentral:lncRNA from 1 species
CUACCUUGAAACCCUUAGUCUCUCAAAGCUCACCCAAGCUCUCCGAAACCCUAGCAGUCUCCUACCUCGUUUAUCACGAUUCCACCGGAAUCCAUGGCGUUCCAGGCCAUGAAUGACUCAUGCUCGCCCUCUCUCACCAUCAAAUUCAAGUUUUUCAAUGAUUUGAAGCCCGAAUAUGAUGGUUCCCUUUAGAUCUAUCUCAUAUCUGCAAGAACUAUGGCCUCUCCCGUCAGGAUCCAAUUUUCUUCAAGACCUACUCAUGCUAGGGUCUUCCUUGUCAUUUUUAUGGUUCUUCAGUUGUCUAUUUCUUUCAGAUAUGCGAUGUAUUUGGU